AUGGCGUCGAUGCAGAGCUGGCGCAAGGCGUACGGCGCCAUCAAGGACACCACCACCGUCAGCCUCGCCAACAUCAACUCCGACUUCAAGGAUCUGGAUGUGGCGAUCGUGAAGGCGACUAACCACGUGGAGUGCCCGCCCAAGGAGCGCCACCUGCGCAAGAUUGCUGCGGCGACGUCCAUCGCGAGGCCACGGGCAGACAUCGCCUACUGCAUCCACGCGCUCUCCCGCCGUCUCUCCAAGACACGCAAUUGGAUUGUAGCACUGAAGACACUUGUAGUGGUUCAUAGGCUUCUACGAGAGGGCGAUCCUACAUUUCGGGAAGAGCUUCUUAAUUUUACACAAAGGAUUCUGCAGCUCUCAAACUUCAAGGAUGACUCCAGUCCAAUUGCCUGGGACUGUUCUGCGUGGGUUCGCACAUACGGUCAGUUUUUGGAGGAAAGAUUGGAAUGCUUCAGGAUCCUGAAAUAUGAUGUUGAAGCUGAGCGUUUAUCCAAACAAGGCCAAGGUCCUGAAAAGGGACACAGUAGAACCAGAGACCUAGAUUCCCAGGAUCUGUUAGAGCAGUUGCCAGCUUUGCAGCAGUUACUGUAUCGGCUUGUUGGAUGUCGGCCAGAAGGAGCUGCAAAUAACAACUACUUGGUGCAAUAUGCUCUAGCUUUGGUGCUAAAAGAGAGUUUCAAAAUUUAUUGUGCGAUAAAUGAUGGAAUUAUUAACCUUGUCGAUAAGUUUUUUGAGAUGGCAAGACAUGAAGCACUUAAGGCCCUUGAAAUUUACAGGAGGGCUGGCCAACAGGCAGGGAAUUUAUCAGACUUUUAUGAAAAUUGUAGGGGUCUAGAACUUGCAAGGAAUUUUCAGUUUCCCACUCUGCGGGAGCCACCACAAACAUUUCUUGUGACCAUGGAGGAGUACGUGAGGGACGCUCCGCGUAUGGUUCCGGUUCGAGAGCCACUGGAAUUUCCUGAGAGGCUUCUCCUUACAUAUAAACCUGAAGAAUCAGAGGAAGUUCCUGAACCCGAUCCCGUCGAAGAGGAAAGGCCACCAGUUGAAGAACCUGUUCCAGUACAGCCCAUCCCAGAAGUUGUUUCACCUCCUACCAAGACUGUUGUGGCUGAUACUGGUGAUCUCUUGGGCUUAAAUGACCCGAGCCCUGGUGUAUCAGCAAUAGAGGAGAGCAAUGCUCUUGCCUUGGCCAUAGUUACAUCAGACGCAAGCACUUCAACAACUGGCAGCACUGCUUGGCAAGAUAAAGGAUUUGAUCCAACAGGAUGGGAACUCGCCCUUGUUACUGCUCCAAGUAACACAAAUUCAUCUGCUACAGAUAGUCAAUUGGGUGGUGGGCUCGACAAGCUCAUCUUGGACAGCCUUUAUGAUGAGGGGGCCUACAGGCAGUCACAACAACAGCAGUUAUACGGUUCAUCAGCUCCCAACCCAUUCAUGACAAACGAUCCUUUUGCGAUGUCGAAUCACGUCGCCGCCCCGUCGUCAGUUCAAAUGGCUGCCAUGUCUCAGCAGCAGCAGCAGAUACCAACGAUGAUCCAUCAGAAUCCCUUCGGACCACCAAUUCAGCCGCAGCAUCCAGGCGCUGGCCCUGGCCCUGCAGCAGUAAACCCAUUCCUGGAUAGUGGCUUCGCGUUCCCGGCGGCAAAUAACUCGCAACAGCAAGCCAACCCAUUUGGUGGCAGCCUUCUAUAG
rnacentral:rRNA from 1 species